rnacentral:rRNA from 1 species
UGAGGAAUAUUGGUCAAUGGACGCAAGUCUGAACCAGCCAUGCCGCGUGCAGGAAGACGGCUCUAUGAGUUGUAAACUGCCUUUGUACGAGGGUAAACGCUCUUACGCGUAAGAGCCUGAAAGUAUCGUACGAAUAAGGAUCGGCUAACUCCGUGCCAGCAGCCGCGGUAAUACGGAGGAUCCAAGCGUUAUCCGGAUUUAUUGGGUUUAAAGGGUGCGUAGGCGGCGAUGCAAGUCAGCGGUAAAAGCCCGGGGCUCAACCCGCGAGCGUGCAACUGACAGUGCUAGAGAAGGCAGAGAGGUACGGCGAUGCGGACAGUGUAGCGGUGGAAGAUGCUUAGAUAUUGCGCAGAACUCCGAUUGCGAAGGCAGCGUACUGGCGCCUGACUGACGCUGAGGCACGAAAGCGUGGGGGAUCGAACAGGAUUAGAUACC